rnacentral:lncRNA from 1 species
UAGAGAUGCAUUUUUUUCAGGAUCACACUAAUGUGGAAUCCGAAAAUGAAGAUAGAGAGAAAGAAUUUUCAAAUUUAUAUGAUGACGUCGAAAUUCCUUUAUAUCCUGGUUGCACGAAGUAUACAAGGAUAUCUACAAUUGUUGUCUUGAAUAAGCUUAAAACUGCUCAUGGUAUAUCUGACAAUGGUUUUAAUGAACUUCUUGAUAUUAUUCGAGAUAUGCUACCACAUGGGAACACCCUUCCUGAUUCUUGCAAUUCGAUGAAAAGGUUAUUGAAUACCUUUGAUUCAGGUUAUGAGAAGAUACAUGCAUGUGUUAAUGAUUGUUGCUUGUUUAGAAAGGAUUUAGUGAAUUUGGAUACUUGUCCAAAAUGUGGAUCUUCGCGGUGGAAAGUUAAUGAACGAACUAAGAAGAUUCAAAAAGGGAUACAUGCAAAGGUUUUGCGAUAUUUUCCAAUUAUACCACGAUUUAGAAGAAUGUUUAGGUCACUCGAUAAGGCAGAACAACUAAUAUGGCACUCAAAUCACAAAAGUCAAGAUGGAAAAAUGCAUCAUCCGGUUGAUUCAUUAGCUUGGAAGAGAAUUGAUUUGCAUCAGAACCACGAAAUCUUAGGCUUCGCCUGUCUCCUGAUGGAUUUAAUCCCUUUGGUGACCUAAGUUCUAGGUAUAGUUGUUGGCCAGUGAUACUAGUUAUUUAUAAUCUCCGUCCUUGGAUAUGUAUGUCUAAGGAAAAUUUGUUGUUGACUUUAUUAAUCCCAGGUCCAAAGCAACCUCGAAAUGAUAUAGUUGUGUACCUAGACCACUAAUAGAAUGCUUAAAGGAGAUGUGAAAUAUUGGUGUUGAAGUAUAUGAUGGAUUUACUAAGUCUACCUUCAAUUUGAAGGUUGUGCUAAUAUGGACAAUUAAUGAUUUUCCAGCUUAUGGGAACUUAUUAGGAUAUCCUACGAAAGGCGAAGCAGCAUGUCCAGUUUGUGGGUUAUCCACAUGUGCAAAAUGGUUGACAUGUAGUUGAAAGUUUUCUUGAUGAUAUAUGAGACCAUGUGCAGGUAAUAUAAAUGUCGCAUCUUUUAUAUAAUUUAAAUGAAAUUACUAUUAAUAUUGUGUACUUUGAUGCAGCAAAAGUUUGAUGUCGAUGCUUGUCAUAGAAAAUACAUCAUGCAAAAAAUGGGAAAAAAUUGGCGAGAUCAUUGAUGUAAUUUCCUUAAAGCAAUCAAUAACAAAGGAAAAUCAAUUGGCAUGACACGAGCUGCUGCUCUCCUCAAGCUCAAUAAUGUUGAAUCAAUGGAAGAAUGGUAAGCAUUUGUCAAAGAACGCAAUUCUCGACCAUAUAAGGUAAGCUUUGAUUGAUUUUGUAUAUUGAUUGUGUUUUGCAACAUACUGCUUACUGCACCUGUUGUAUAUUCGCCACAACAUUUAUGUCUAUUACAACGUGCAUAAAUGAUGUUGUAGGAAAAGAAUGAAAGAUUCAAAAAGAUGAGAGCAAGUCAAACCAUGUUGUAUACAACAAGAAGAAAGGGUUUUACUUGCUUAGAAGUUGAAAUGGUAAAAAAUUGUUAAAUUAAAGUUAAAUUUGUUUUAAAAAUUAUAAAUGUUAUACAAACUACCACACAUGAAAUGUAAAAUGUAGCGUGCUUAAAGUGAAGAUCCUGAUUCAAUAACGAGAGAUGAUGUUUAUAUUCGAGGACAUACGCGAAAAAAUGGUGAACCUAUUAACGAAUCAGUUGGGGAAACAUUGGUAACAAUAUUUCUUUUAGUAAUUUUUUAUCAUUUAAAGCUUAUAUUAGGUAAUUUUAGCUCAUUAAUGCAUUUCCUCAUAUCAGAAUAAAAUAAAAGCAUAUUCAGAGACAGUUUUCUCUCCAAGUAAACACUCACUUGAAGGUGAUGGUGGUGCAAAAGUAUUUGGUCCAAAACGUCCAGGACGGGUAAGAGGUCUUGGUUUUGGUGCAACUCCUUCAAAGUUGAAUGCUUUGGUGCACAAUCAUAACUUGCAAACUGAAGUUCAAGAGUUAAGGGAUGAAAUUAAAGAAUUAAAAGCUCUGUUUCAAGUGAAGAGUAAAUGUGCUGAACAAGAAGAUAAUGUAAGUGGAAAUCUAGAAUCAAUGAAUGUUAUUUUAAAUUACAUAUACUUUCUAUAUUCAAAAUAAUAAAUUGUACAACUGGAUAUUAAUUUUAUAGUUUAGAGAUAGAAGCUUGAAUGGUUUAGAUAACCUUCAAAAUAAGAAGUUCAAUUUGUUAUCUUGGUUGGGAAAGCUGAUAUUGUUGCAAAAGGUGAAAUCACAUUAACAAAUCCAAAUGAUCUAGUGCAUCAUGUACCCCUUGGUAAUGAAUGUUGGAGAGUUUGGGUUAAUGAAGUGAUCGAUAAUGUUAGCUUAUAUCGUCCCACGCGUGAGAUUUUUCUUCUGGAAGAUGUAUUAGGAAGUACAAUUGCAUGGCCAAGUAGGUAUAUCGAAGUGGAUUCACUGUAAUCACAACGAAGGUAUGCUUAACUUCUUUUCUAUUUUAAUUCCAUUUACCUUUAUGUUCGGUCUCUAUUGAAGAUUGGGUUGUUUAAUUUAUUUUUUAUUUGGAUGCUUAUUAAUUAUAUCUUUAUUAUUUUCGUGGUGUACAGGGGAUCCAUAUUUUGUGGGGUAGCUAAAUUGUCGGUCAAAGAAGUGAACUUUGAUACGUUUAAUAAUUUUUUGUUAUAUGAUGGAACCUCAAUAUCCACAGGCUUAUUAGUUGAAUGGUGAUUGGCGCAUACAAUAGUAGUCGAAUUUUUCUGAGAAUUGUUUAGAUGAAUUUUACAUUGGCAUAUUGUAUUGAACCGUAGUCAAUAUUUCUUUUUAUCGAAACAAU